GACGAACCGAGCGAACGUUGUUCGGAAUCACUGGGCUUAAAGCGCGCGUAGGCGGGUUAUCAAGUCCGGGGUGAAAACCUCCAGCUCAACUGGAGAACUGCCUUGGAUACUGGCUGGCUAGAGGAAGGUAGGGGUGUGUGGAACGUUCAGUGGAGCGGUGAAAUGCAUUGAUAUUGAACGGAACUUCGGUGGCGAAGGCGACACACUGGACCUUUUCUGACGCUGAGGCGCGAAAGCUAGGGGAGCAAACGGG
rnacentral:rRNA from 1 species